ACGGCAUUGGCAGUGACCUUAAU
rnacentral:miRNA from 14 species